UCCCUGAGGUCCAGUGGUUAGACUCUGCACUUCCACAGCAGUGGGCACAGGUUCGAUCCCUGGUCGGGGAA
rnacentral:tRNA from 1 species